UGGACUUACAAGUUUGGUAGAAAUCAGCAAAAAGACUUUGUAGGAGUAGGUCAAUAAAUAGACAGGCAGACAUGACCUUGGCCCAACUAAUGACCAUUUG